UACGAAGGGGGCUAGCGUUGCUCGGAAUCACUGGGCGUAAAGCGCACGUAGGCGGCUUUUUAAGUCAGGGGUGAAAUCCUGGAGCUCAACUCCAGAACUGCCCUUGAUACUGAGAGGCUUGAGUCCGGGAGAGGUGAGUGGAACUGCGAGUGUAGAGGUGAAAUUCGUAGAUAUUCGCAAGAACACCAGUGGCGAAGGCGGCUCACUGGCCCGGAACUGACGCUGAGACGCGAAAGCGUGGGGAGCAAACAGG
rnacentral:rRNA from 1 species